AGCGAUAAGUUAUCCACCUGGGGAGUACGUUCGCAAGAAUGAAACUCAAAGGAAUUGACGGGGGCCCGCACAAGCGGAGGAACAUGUGGUUUAAUUCGAUGAUACGCGAGGAACCUUACCCGGGCUUGAAAGUUAGCGACGGAUCCUGAAAGGGGUCUUCUCUUCGGAGCGCGAAACUAGGUGCUGCAUGGUUGUCGUCAGCUCGUGCCGUGAGGUGUCGGCUUAAGUGCCAUAACGAGCGCAACCCCUACUGUUAGUUGCCAGCAUGUCAAGAUGGGCACUCUAGCAGGACUGCCGGUGUAAGCCGAGAGGAAGGUGGGGAUGACGUCAAAUCAGCACGGCCCUUACGUCCGGGGCGACACACGUGUUACAAUGGUCGGUACAGAGGGUAGCUACCUGGUGACAGGAUGCCAAUCUCGAAAGCCGGUCUCAGUUCGGAUUGGAGGCUGAAACUCGCCUCCAUGAAGUUGGAUUCGCUAGUAAUCGCGCAUCAGCCAUGGCGCGGUGAAUACGUUCCCGGGCCUUGUACACACCGCCCGUCAAGCCAUGGGAGUUGGGGGUGCCUGAAGUACGUGACCGCAAGGAGCGUCCUAGGGCAAAACCGAUGACUGGGGCUAAGUCGUAACAAGGUAGCCGUACCGGAAGGUGCGGCUGGAACACCUCCUUU
rnacentral:rRNA from 1 species